GGAUGGGCUCGCGGUCUAUCAGCUUGUUGGUGGGGUGAUGGCUUACCAAGGCUUUGACGGGUAGCCGGCCUGAGAGGGUGGUCGGUCACAUUGGGACUGAGAUACGGCCCAGACUCCUGCGGGAGGCAGCAGUGGGGGAUAUUGCACAAUGGGCGCAAGCCUGAUGCAGCGACGCCGCGUGGGGGAUGAAGGCCUUCGGGUUGUAAACUUCUUUUGCUCUGAACAAGGCGCACUAUUGGGUGUGUUGAGUGUAGGGGUUGAUUAGCGCCGGCUAACUACGUGCCAGCAGCCGCGGUAAUACGUAGGGCGCGAGCGUUAUCCGGAAUUAUUGGGCGUAAAGGGCUUGUAGGUGGCUGGUUGCGUCUGUCGUGAAAGCUCAUGGCUUAACUGUGGGUUUGCGGUGGGUACGGGCUGGCUUGAGUGCAGUAGGGGAGACUGGAAUUCCUGGUGUAGCGGUGGAAUGCGCAGAUAUCAGGAGGAAUACCGGUGGCGAAGGCGGGUCUCUGGGCUGUUACUGACGCUGAGGAGCGAAAGCGUGGGGAGCGAACAGGAUUAGAUACCCUGGUAGUCCAUGCUGUAAACGUUGGGAACUGGGUGUGGGGGGCUUUUUUGUCUUCUGCGUCGUAGCUAACGCGUUAAGUUCCCCGCCUGGGGAGUACGGUCGCAAGGCUAAAACUCAAAGGAAUUGACGGGGGCCCGCACAAGCGGCGGAGCAUGCGGAUUAAUUCGAUGCAACGCGAAGAACCUUACCAAGGCUUGACAUGCACUGGACCGAUCUAGAGAUGGGUUUUCCUUUUUGGCUGGUGUGCAGGUGGUGCAUGGUUGUCGUCAGCUCGUGUCGUGAGAUGUUGGGUUAAGUCCCGCAACGAGCGCAACCCUUGUCCUAUGUUGCCAGCAAGUUGUGUUGGGGACUCGUGGGAGACUGCCGGGGUUAACUCGGAGGAAGGUGGGGAUGACGUCAAAUCAUCAUGCCCCUUAUGUCUUGGGCUUCACGCAUGCUACAUUGGCGUCUACAAAGGGUUGCGAUACCGUAAGGUGGGGCGAAUCUCUUAAAGGGCGUCUUGGUUCGGAUCGGGGUCUGCAACUCGGCCCCGUGAAGGUGGAGUCGCUAGUAAUCGCAGAUCAGCAACGCUGCGGUGAAUACGUUCUCGGGCCUUGCACUAACCGCCCGUCA
rnacentral:rRNA from 1 species